rnacentral:tRNA from 1 species
GACAUGUGCCUGAAAACAAGGCUUACCUUGAUAGGGUAAUUUAUAGAGGUUACAACCCUCUC